rnacentral:lncRNA from 10 species
CACAAACUGAGUGGCUUAAACAACAGAAAUUUAUCGUCUCUCAGUUCUAGAGGCAAGAAGUCUGAGAUCAAGGUGUCAGCAGGGCUGGUUUCCUCUGAGGGCUGUGCGGGAAGGAUCUGUUCCAGGCCUCUCUGACUUGUAUGUGGCUGCCUUCUCCCGCCUUCACUUUGUCUUCUUUGUGCCAAGAACCCCAUGUGGGGCUGUGACAGGCAGAAGGAUGGCUCCUUGAAGAUACUCAUGUCCUAAUUCCCAGAACAUGUGAAUAUGCUACUUCAACAGCAAAAGGGACGUUGCAGAUGUAAAUUACGGACCUCGAGACCGGGAGAUUAUUCUGGAUUGUCUGGUGGACCCACUGUAAUCACAAGGUUCAUAUAAGGGAAAUAGGGAAGCAGGAGAGUCGGAGAAGGAGAUGGGAUGAUGGAGGCAGAGGUUGGAGUGAUGCAAUUGCUAGCUUUGAAGGUAGAGGAAGAGACCUUAAGCCAAGGAAUGUGGGUGGCUUCUAGAAGCUAAAAAAAGGCAAACAAACAAACAAACAACAACCCUGCAACAGAUUCUUCCCUAGACCCUCCAGAAGGAACACUGCCUUGCUAACACCUUGAUUUUAGCCCAGUAAAAUUCAUUUUGAACUUCUAACCUGCAGAACC